ensembl:lncRNA uncharacterized LOC107584238
GAUUCUUGCAUACCUCUUCUGCACCAACAAAACCGCUUAACUGAACAUGACUCAAGCUGCCCCCAUAUAUGGAAGUAAAUUUCCAAAUACCACAGUCAUUUUCUCUGAGGGUGGAGGCAGGGUGGGGAUACCUUUAGUAUAAAAACACCAGAUACCUUGUUCUCCAUAUCACUUACUAAAACAAAGUGCAUUUUAGGAGAACUCAUUGCACAUUGUGUAAUUGUGUAAACCUUCUAAGGAUGGCUGAUAGCAAAAUGGCUGUGUCCCAGUGGAGCCCCACAUUUGUAAAAGAGCUCCUCCCUGCUGCUCAAAAGACAGCUCUUCUCUACCAUCUCUCUUACCUGUGCCUGGCCAACUUCCCCAACCUGGAGAGGAUCAUCAGGAGUCGGGCUGUGGAAACCCAGCUUCUGUUUGGCUCCUCUGAUGCAACGAUGUUGAAAUGUAUUUUGACAAGUGAAAACCUGGUUCAGUCACUGUUUCCCAUGUUGACGAAAGCUGUGGAGAAAAAUAAGCCAGUUUCGGCAGUCAAAUUUCUUGCGAAAGCACGAGUCUGGAUCAAAGAAAUUAUCAGUGAAGUGGACAGGAUAGUGGAAAAGUAUGAUUUACACAACAAAGAUGUAGCAUCAUCCACCAGUGAUGUUAUCAAGGAAAAAAUAGAUACUGAUAAAAAGAUUACAGCGCAAGACCAUGAAAUGAAGCAGACUGAAAAUACCCUGAAUGAUCUGAAAUCAAAACUCCAAAAAACCACUGAAGAGCUUGCUGCAGUUGAGAGAAAGAUAAACAGCAAAAGCCAAGAGAUUCAAGAAUUUGCCAGAUCCAUAACCCAAAAAAGUAAAGGCCUCGGCAUCUUCGCCGCAAUCGUUCCAUUCAUCGGGCUAGUUGUGAAAAGCAUUUAUGAUGCUGUACAUGAUCCUGAAAAUGUUGCCCAUAUGAAGGCUCUUGAAGCUGAAUUGAAUAACCUCGUCGCUGAAAAGACUGCUCUGAAACAAAAGCAGUGGCAGCUCGAACUCCAGAUCAUUGAUUGGCAGAUGAAGUCUGCCAAAGCCACUUUUGACCGGAAUUCCAUACCCGACCCCAUCCAUCUAAAUGACGUACAGAGUAGCUUGUCAAAAAUUCAGGCAAUUCUAAUUCAGCUGAAAAACUUCUGGGAGAAUGUUGCUCAAAUGUUGGACUACCUGGAACAAAAGACCUUUGUUGGAGAAGAUCUUAUUGAAGACCUUGCUGAACUAAAAGAUGAAUUUCUAGAAUCAAUCAAAACAGCAGAAGAGGCUUGGAGCAUGUUUGGUGCAGGCUGUAAACAAGCAUCUGUCAUCUUCAAGCUCCAAACCAAAGAUGCCUACAAGUUUUUGGAGGUCAGUCCUUCCUCUAUCUCCAAGGAAGAGUGGCAAAAAGAAUAUGAACGUGUAAAGGAACAACUGACAAAAAUAGUUCCACCACAAAGUGUGACACCCUCUAAUACACCUGCCAUUUCUGAGUGAUCUACAUGCACAAGUACAUCAUCCCAUUUGUUUUCUGUCUCAUGAUGCUGGUGACCUGGGAUGAUAAUGUUUAGCUUUUUAAAUGCUGUACUUGUAAACUGCAGAGUUCUGUAGUCUCUUCUACUUAAUGCCUAAAACAAUCUUUAUAUAUCCUCUGCUCUGUAUGCAUAAUCUGUUUAUGAGUUCUUGCAAAAAGACUUUUGUUGAAUGCAUAAAUAAUUGGUUGAAUGGUUCUCUGAAUAAAGUUUGACAUAAUAACAUAACCAUAACAUAAUUACUGACUUUAGUUUUUGUUUAAAUAAUCUCACUUCUCAUUUUUUCUGUCCAAAGUCAUAUAUUUAACUACUUUUCAUACACUAUAAUGGUCCGUGUUACUGUAACGAGAGAGGCGACAAUUGGGGGAUCCAAAUACAGGCUUUAUUUGACAAGGCGUAGUCAUACAGGCAGGGUCCAGUAACAGCAAACAGUUACAUUGCCUUCCAUAAGUAUUGGAACAGUAACAACAAAAUUGCUCUGUUUGCUGUGGAGUCAAGAAAUCUGUAAAUAUGAUUAAAAGAUGAAUAUGAGACA